UGUGGUAUGGCUCAGUGGUUGAGUGCUUGUCUGGCAUGUGUAAGGGCAUGGGUUCAAUUCCCAGUACCAUAG
rnacentral:tRNA from 1 species